AGAGAGAGACAUGCGCGCAUAUCAAUAAGCGGAGGAAAAGAAACUAACAAGGAUUCCCCUAGUAACGGCGAGUGAAGCGGGAAGAGCUCAAAUUUGAAAUCUUAAAGGGUUUCCCUUUACGAAUUGUAGUUUAAAGAAGUGUUUUCUGUUGAGGUUUUGGUAAAAGUUCUUUGGAAUAGGACAUCAUAGAGGGUGAGAAUCCCGUAUUUGACCUUUACUUUCAACUUUGUGAUACACUUUCAAAGAGUCGGAUUGUUUGGGAAUGCAGUCCAAAAUGGGUGGUAAAUUUCAUCUAAAGCUAAAUAUUGGCGAGAGACCGAUAGCGAACAAGUACCGUGAGGGAAAGAUGAAAAGAACUUUGAAAAGAGAGUUAAACAGUACGUGAAAUUGUCAAAAGGGAAGCGUUUGACACCAGUGUUGUUUUUCUGAAAAUCAAUUAAAGAACUGUUUAUGCUAAGCUGUUUAGACUUUAUCAGCUAAUCUGUUUAGUUUCGAGCUUUUCUUUAAUGCACUUUUCAGUUAACAAGUCAACAUCAAUUUCUUUUGCUGUAAAAAAGCUUGAGGAAGGUGGCUUGAGAUUCGUCUUAAGUGUUUAUAGCCUCUUGCCUAUGCAGUCGGAGAGAUUGAGGUCUGCAGCGUAGAUCCUUCGGGGCUAAAUGCAUUUGUGCUAAGUUAUAGCAUUUUAUAGACAACUUGUUGACUAUGAUUUGUCUUGUAGCUUACUCGCUUAUGUUAUUUUACCUACGCUUAGGAUGUUGACGCAUGAGAUAUACGC
rnacentral:rRNA from 1 species